ensembl:antisense Cdk19os cyclin-dependent kinase 19, opposite strand
GGCGCUGCGCCGAUUGGAAGUUCCACCACUACCGUCACCAGCACAGGGCCAAACCGAGAAACCGGGACGCGGGGGCCGCCGCCACUCAGUCCCUCCUCCACCGCCGCCGCUCCACUUCUCCAACAGCCGUCGCUCGGGCGCGCGCGCGCCGCCCGCCGCUCCGCGGUCCGCCUUCAGCAAGGGACUCCUCGGCGGCCGCGGCAGCCACCUCCUCCGCCUCCUCCUCCUCCGCGGCGGCGGCGGCGGCUCCCGCAGGCAUCUACAGUCCCGCCUCCUCCCUUCAUUUCCUUGUUUUGGAACCUGGUGGGCCGCGCCGCGGCUUUCUCGAACUCAUUAAGGAACCAAGCGUCCCGCCCCAAGGUCGCGAGCCAUUCUGGGAAAUGUAGUUCAAGAGGGCUCGUGAGUUGUGCUACCUCCUCGGGAGCGGGGAAUACAGUUCCCAGAGUUCCUGGGGCCUUUUGGGCCACGCCUCCACAAGGCAUGUACGCCUGCGCUCUGCCGCCGCCCCACCCCCUCAGCGCGCGACUGCUGUUCCUGUAA